rnacentral:rRNA from 1 species
AAUGAACGCUGGCGGCGUGCUUAACACAUGCAAGUCGUGCGAGAAAGUCGACUUCGGUCGAUGAGUAGAGCGGCGAACGGGUGAGUAACACGUGGGUAACCUGCCUGGGAGCGGGGGAUAACCUGGGGAAACUCGGGCUAAUACCGCAUACGUUCUCGGCGCUACGGCGCUGAGAGGAAAGCUGGCCUAUUCUUGAAAGCUGGCACUCCUAGAGGGGCCCGCGGUCGAUUAGCUUGUUGGUGGGGUAACGGCCUACCAAGGCGAUGAUCGAUAGCCGGCCUGAGAGGGCGAUCGGCCACACUGGGACUGAGACACGGCCCAGACUCCUACGGGAGGCAGCAGUGGGGAAUAUUGGACAAUGGGCGCAAGCCUGAUCCAGCAACGCCGCGUGGAGGACGAAGGCCUUCGGGUCGUAAACUCCUGUCAGUUGGGACGAAAAGCCGUCGGUCAAUAGCCGGCGGUCCUGACGGUACCAGCAGAGGAAGCCCCGGCUAACUCCGUG